rnacentral:rRNA from 1 species
ACAUGCCUACAACAUAGUGUUAAUGCAUCAGAUCCCAUUAGAACUCUGUAGUUAAGCGCGCUGAGGCUAGAGUAGUAUUGGGAUGGGUGAUCACCCGGGUAGUCCUACUAUUUUACAUGCC